AAUUUCUCCUAGCUGUGAAGUAGACUUGCCUUUCCCCACAUAUCAUGGCAACUUAAAUAUCAGUGGGGCUGAGCCAGGGCGUAUUUGUGUACAAAUCAUGCAGGUGCUUUUGUUGGUUGGCAAGAUAGAACCACUCUGCCCUUGCCGGAAGGAGCAUGUGGCAAGCUCUUGUUCUGAGGGCCGAGAGUGAGAGAGAAAUUGGCCCCGUUACUGGGGCACGCCCCUGCUCAGGGCUGGGCUUCCUCUCUGACGUGCUCUCGUGUGUUUCAGCACUGGAGAGGGGGCUCUUGAAAACGCUGCAGAAGCUGGAUGAGUACCUGAAUUCUCCCCUCCCUGACGAAAUCGAUGAGAACAGCAUGGAGGACAUCAAAUCGUCCACACGCA
rnacentral:lncRNA from 1 species